AUGAAUCUGUUUUCUGCCGGUCAACUUACUGAUUCUGGUUGUCGUGUCAUCCUUGAUGUUGACUCUUAUUCUGUCCAGGAUCGUCGCACGCACACUCUGGUUGGGGCUGGCCCUCGCCGCCGUGAUUCUCAGGGUCUUUGGGAGUUGGACUGGCUUCAUGUUCCUUCCGCUGCCACCACCAUCGCCAGUUCCUCCGCUGCUGUCGCUUCUGUUACUGGUUCCUUCAAGCAGUGGCAUCAUCGACUUGGUCAUCUGUGUGGUUCUCGAUUAUCGUCUUUAGUUCGUCGAGGUCUUCUGGGGUCUGUCUCGGAGAUGUCUCUUUAG
rnacentral:rRNA from 1 species